rnacentral:rRNA from 1 species
AGUGAACGCUGGCGGUAGGCCUAACACAUGCAAGUCGAACGGCAGCACAGUAAGAGCUUGCUCUUACGGGUGGCGAGUGGCGGACGGGUGAGGAAUACAUCGGAAUCUACUUUUUCGUGGGGGAUAACGUAGGGAAACUUACGCUAAUACCGCAUACGACCUACGGGUGAAAGCAGGGGAUCUUCGGACCUUGCGCGAUUGAAUGAGCCGAUGUCGGAUUAGCUAGUUGGCGGGGUAAAGGCCCACCAAGGCGACGAUCCGUAGCUGGUCUGAGAGGAUGAUCAGCCACACUGGAACUGAGACACGGUCCAGACUCCUACGGGAGGCAGCAGUGGGGAAUAUUGGACAAUGGGCGCAAGCCUGAUCCAGCCAUACCGCGUGGGUGAAGAAGUCCUUCGGGUUGUAAAGCCCUUUUGUUGGGAAAGAAAAGCAGCAGGUUAAUACCCCGCUGUUCUGACGGUACCCAAAGAAUAAGCACCGGCUAACUUCGUG